AGUGAACGCUGGCGGUAGGCCUAACACAUGCAAGUCGAACGGCAGCACAGUAAGAGCUUGCUCUUACGGGUGGCGAGUGGCGGACGGGUGAGGAAUACAUCGGAAUCUACUUUUUCGUGGGGGAUAACGUAGGGAAACUUACGCUAAUACCGCAUACGACCUACGGGUGAAAGCAGGGGAUCUUCGGACCUUGCGCGAUUGAAUGAGCCGAUGUCGGAUUAGCUAGUUGGCGGGGUAAAGGCCCACCAAGGCGACGAUCCGUAGCUGGUCUGAGAGGAUGAUCAGCCACACUGGAACUGAGACACGGUCCAGACUCCUACGGGAGGCAGCAGUGGGGAAUAUUGGACAAUGGGCGCAAGCCUGAUCCAGCCAUACCGCGUGGGUGAAGAAGGCCUUCGGGUUGUAAAGCCCUUUCGUUGGGAAGGAAAAGCAGCAGGUUAAUACCCCGCUGUUCUGACGGUACCCGAAGAAUAAGCACCGGCUAACUUCGUG
rnacentral:rRNA from 1 species